UCAAUCCGCCUCCUCCGGCGGCCUUCCUCAAGUGGUCGAGGUGCGUGCGUGUGGACGAGAUGCACACCUCCGAGGUCUGGUGAAGGCCCGGGCCUGUCAGGGCUGCGGCAGCAAGUCCAGCUGAGUCCUAACUUGCUCCCAAACCGUGAGGUGUAGUGCCCGUGCUUGAGAACGUGGUGCACAGCCGACGCUCUGCCGUGCAAAGACUUCUGUCCUUGUCUGGAGCAAGAAAGCCUGACAUCAUAGCCUGUGUUUGGAAGGAGAUAAGGCCGCUCGUAAGGCUGACAGCUGCGCCUCAGGACUUGCACUAUGCACUUUACUUGUGUUGAUUUUUUUAAAUUUUUUUUUUAAAACUUGCUAUUAACUACAUUGCACGGCUAAACCCACUGAGACUCACUUUCGGCCAUCCAUUUUCUAUCGCCUUUGUCCUCAUUGGGGCGAAGGUGAGCUGGAGCCUAUUCAAACAAAUACAAAUGUUUCUUUUCCUUCAUGUCUUCCCUCUCCUUCUUGUACGAGCCAGGUGUUCCAAUACUUUUAACCACAUGUACUAUAAUUGCCUUGCACACAUAUAAGGAAACAAAUGCAUGUUGUCCACCUUACCCAGAGAGAGACACGCGAUCAGAGGACAUGAUGUUUGCUCUUUUAUGUUGUUGUUUUGUUGUUAUUUUUUAUUUUUUAACAUUUUGCCCCCAGCCUCAACUGUGAAUGAAAAGCUCUUAAAAAAAAAAAAGAAAAAAAGAGCCCUGAUGUGGUCUAAUGCAGAAUGUGCGCACACGCGUGCUGGAGGGAUUCAAGCUGCUCAACAACUGUCUGUCUGCCGGUGACCUACAGCUUCAGGCAACUCCACGGAGUCCAGGACCUUGAACCGGCAGUCAUUGUACACUUGAAGCCAUCUCGGCGUGCGUGGAUGAGUACUUUCAGUUUAGUGUGAGCAAGUUUGUCAAUUAAGAUUUUCAUUUCUGUAACCCUUUCGUACGGUUCAGGACAAGUUGGACCCGCUUUGACAUUUGUCAUUCUUUCACCCUCAACUUUGAUGACUUUUCCUAAAUGACUAAAAACACACAAAAAGGAUUUUAAAUUGUCUUUUAAAUUGCACUUUACUUUGCAGCCAGCCAGACCCUUGACCAUCUCCAGCUGGUUCGCAAUGUGUCAGUGUGUUACAUCAAGGAAAAUGGUGGAAAUCUUGGAACUAUGAAAGUCACCAUAACAUAAUUGUGUGUAUUUUUUUUUUAUAAGGCAGUGGUAAACUACUGAAAAGGUAGCUUGAAACAGUCCAGAGAACUGUCUGUGUCCCACCACAUUUGCAAAGGCUCCCACAGAAACAUACACGUGUUAGUCUUUGAAAGGUCAAGGGGGCAAUGUUGAAAAAGAGAACGCGUAAAACAGCAUAAGAUUGAUCAUCCAUACUAAACAUUGGGGACCAAAGUCAAAGGUCAGAGGGUGCCUUGACACAGGUGUGAGAUCUGCACCUGAAAAAAAGUACCUUCCAUGUAACAAAUCAUAUUUUCCCUUUUCUCUGAAACAUUAAGGGUUAAUCAUCCAUUUCUUAGCUAUUAAUACAUUUUGAUAAAAACCGUGUUCAUAAUUUGAAAGAGACAAUUAUGAGGAUUUUCUGGUUAUACUACAAUUACGUGCGCAUAGAAAAUGAACUGUAUGUGAGGGUGAAGAG